CCUGGUACAGGCUGACAAAUUGGCCCUACUUUGCCUGGCGUGGCGAUGUUGUGGAGCCACGUUGGCAGCCUGUGUUUAGCUGUGCUCCUGUGGGAGGUGGCCCUGCCGAGACCCCCAUGCAUUGCAGUGCAUCGCAGCAUGACAUGGCAGCAGCGCCAUCCCCCAUGCUGGGAGCAAACAUGGUGCACUCCUCCAUCCCAAUGUAUCUUACCUGCUUCUUUCUCUUCUUCCCGCAACAGAAGCAACAACUGGAUACCCGAGUACCUACCCAUGGAGAACUACACUUCCCACGUACACAACCACAGAUGUCACCAGUCCUACAAGUAUGUCUGCAUUAUUCCUGGUUUUUCUCUUCGCUAUUUAGAGCUGUGUUUGUUGCUGUCUGAACACGUGAGCUUUGUCUUUUCCGUGGAAUCAGGGAGUCCUCAAAGGUGCAGAGCUGGCAGGGACCCAGAGGGACGAUAGAGCCCAAGUGGGGCUCUGCAGCGGACGGUAAAAGAGAUAACUCAUAUAUCUGAGAGCGCUGUCCAACUGGUUAUUCAGCACUGAUGGGCCUGGGGCCAUGACCACAAGAACAGGAGAGGAGUGUCAUGGAAAUGCGGAGCCUAAUUCAGCUGAGAGUAGCAAUCCUCGUGGCCUCAGAGUCGUGGGGUGUUGAAACUGCAGCGUGAAGGGAAGGUGUGUGCGUGCUGCAGUGUUUUCCCAUGUGUUCCUUGUUUCCUCCUUUCCCAGGUGCCUCUCUGAGCUUGGUGAAUGGCCGGAACCGGUGUGAGGGGCGCGUAGAGAUCUACUCCAAUGGGAAUCGGGGCACAGUGUGUGAUGACGGCUGGGACAUCAAUGACGCCAAUGUUGUGUGCAGGCAGCUGGGAUGUGGCUUUGCAGUUUCAGCACUAGGAAAUGCCUAUUUUGGACAAGGCACUGGCGCAAUUUACCUGGACGAUGUGCAUUGCAAGGGGAAUGAGUCGUCCCUCUUUAAGUGCCAGAGCAGUGGCUGGGGUGUGCACAAUUGUAACCACUAUGAGGAUGCCGGCGUUGUCUGCUCAGAAGCAACAACUGGAUACCCGAGUACCUACCCAUGGAGAACUAC
ensembl:lncRNA